CGCCCGCAUGGGGCCCGCCAGGUCCUCGGCGGUCACCGGCCGCCGAUAGGCCAGGCGGAGGAGCGGUUCCAGCCGGCCGCGCGCGGC
rnacentral:tRNA from 1 species